UGAAUUAUUAAAAUAUUAUUUAUAUUCUUAUCUUUUUGGCGGUAUUUUAAUUUUUCAGAGGAACCUGUUUUAUAAUUGAUAUUACACGAUUUUAUUCACUUAUUUUAUUUAAUUUAUAUAUCAUUGUUUUUAAUUAUUUUAUAAGAAUAUUAUUAUAAUUAAAUUAAUUUUUAAGAAAAUCAGAUCAAGGUGUAGUUUAUAAAUAUGAAAAAAUGGGUUACAAUAAAUAUAUUUAUAUUUCUUAAUAGUUUUAAAUUAUUAUGAAAAUGGAUUUGAAAGUAAUAUUAUUUAAAUAAAUAGUAUGAUUAUUAAACUAAAAUAUGUACACGUCGCCCGUC
rnacentral:rRNA from 1 species